CCUACGGGCGGCUGCAGUCGAGAAUCAUUCACAAUGGGGGAAACCCUGAUGGUGCGACGCCGCGUGGGGGAAUGAAGGUCUUCGGAUUGUAAACCCCUGUCAUGUGGGAGCAAAUUAAAAAGAUAGUACCACAAGAGGAAGAGACGGCUAACUCUGUGCCAGCAGCCGCGGUAAUACAGAGGUCUCAAGCGUUGUUCGGAAUCACUGGGCGUAAAGCGUGCGUAGGCUGUUUCGUAAGUCGUGUGUGAAAGGCGCGGGCUCAACCCGCGGACGGCACAUGAUACUGCGGGACUAGAGUAAGGGAGGGGGAACCGGAAUUCUCGGUGUAGCAGUGAAAUGCGUAGAUAUCGAGAGGAACACUCGUGGCGAAGGCGGGUUCCUGGACAUUAACUGACGCUGAGGCACGAAGGCCAGGGGAGCGAAAGGGAUUAGAUACCCUAGUAGUC
rnacentral:rRNA from 1 species